rnacentral:rRNA from 1 species
GACGAACGCUGGCGGCGUGCUUAACACAUGCAAGUCGAACGCUGAAGCUUGGUGCUUGCACUGGGUGGAUGAGUGGCGAACGGGUGAGUAAUACGUGAGUAACCUGCCCUUGACUCUGGGAUAAGCCUGGGAAACUGGGUCUAAUACUGGAUACGACAUGUCACCGCAUGGUGGUGUGUGGAAAGGGUUUUACUGGUUUUGGAUGGGCUCACGGCCUAUCAGCUUGUUGGUGGGGUAAUGGCUCACCAAGGCGACGACGGGUAGCCGGCCUGAGAGGGUGACCGGCCACACUGGGACUGAGACACGGCCCAGACUCCUACGGGAGGCAGCAGUGGGGAAUAUUGCACAAUGGGCGAAAGCCUGAUGCAGCGACGCCGCGUGAGGGAUGACGGCCUUCGGGUUGUAAACCUCUUUCAGCACGGAAGAAGCGAAAGUGGCGGUACGUGCAGAAGAAGCGCCGGCUAACUACGUG